UACGUAGGGGCCGAGCGUUGUCCGGAGUUAUUGGGCGUAAAGCGCGCGCAGGCGGCUUGGCGCGCCCGACGUGAAAGCCCCCGGCUUAACCGGGGAGGGUCGUCGGGUGCGGCCAGGCUUGAGGGCGGGAGAGGGUGGUGGAAUUCCCGGUGUAGUGGUGAAAUGCGUAGAGAUCGGGAGGAACACCUGUGGCGAAGGCGGCCACCUGGGCCGACCCUGACGCUGAGGCGCGAAGGCGUGGGGAGCAAACAGG
rnacentral:rRNA from 1 species